UCAUGACGUUUUUCACGGUGUUUUGAAUACAGUGAGUGUAAAUAUCUUCCGUCGAAAUUCUGUUUUUUGUUCCGAAUAGGCAAGGCUCAAGCUUUUUAAUUGAUAACGAAACAUUUGACUAUGAAGGGCAGAACACAGCAGCUGCAGUAGCCGGACGAAGACAUCGCGAGUUCGCUCCUCCUCCGACGAACUGGAAGACAGGGAUAACGUCCGUCCGGAGGCAGAUGACCGGUUGUGCGUUCCACCAAUCUAUAAAUUUAGCUGAAACAACGCUAGUUCCUCAGUAGCAUCCACUAAGCGACGGUAGGCAAAGCGAUGAAGCAGGUCAGAUUCCCAACCACCCAUUGCCCAAGCUCGGGUGGCUCAAAUUCUGGUGGAGAUGCAAAGAAGUCCGAACCGAGUUUUAAAGCGGGUCCCAAAUGUAUACGCUGCUUCCAUCCGAUUUGCCUACAACUACAACUCAAUCUCGCUUUUUCGUUGUCGAGAAAAAAGGAAAUUUCCGGAGUGCAAUAGAUUGCCAAGUGUCGUAGGCGACUUCCAAGUGGGCAAGAAUAAAAACAAAAUCGGAUAAGCACAUGCAAAGCCUAACCGUGACCCUCAAAUAAGCUAAGAAGUGGAUGCAGCUGCGGAAAGCGAGUGCUAUGUGCAACCCAUUGGAACGACAGCAGCGUUUCGAUCAAUGUGACCAACCACCUCGAUCUAACCAUGUUGCAGCAAAAUGUGGAAGAUAAAAAAAAAAAUAAGGAAACGUUUCUAAUCCAUGUCAGGUUUUUUCUGCAAAAUGCUUUGAUUUAUUUCUAUAACAGCCAGCUUCAGUUAAAAAAAAUCUGUUAACAGGAGAUGAACAAGAUCUAAGUUUGCAGCAAGUGAUACUAAAAGCCAAAACGUGCCAGAAUUAGUUCAGCGAGGUGUGUUCCCAAUCGCACCUGUUUUUGUGAGCCAAGCUGAAGGCUUUCACGUAUUGGUCGGCUUAGAGGAUAACGAUUACCAGGAAUUGAUUGGUGUAGAUUCGAUUUUCGGGGUUACGAUCGUGCCUGGGUACCGGUGAAAGAUUAUUUGUGUAAAUUUUCUGUAGGUGUUCUAAUGUACGAAUUCGGAAAUUUUAAAAAAAUAUGCAAAAUAAUGAAGAUUCACACCGCAAUAGUUUAUGCUUACGUUAAGUUAUGUCCAAGUUUAGGUCAUGAAAAACGAGUUUAAAGAUUUAGCUUGCAAUGGGCGAGAAUAUCGAGUCUAAAAUAUGAAACAAAUGAACACCAUACUGAAAACUACGUGUUGCGAAAAAAUGCCUCACUGAUGCAAGAGCUAGAAGUUCAAAUCAAAGUCUGCUAUAGCUAUCAUCAAAAACAAAAUAUAAAAACAAGAAUUUAAAAAGAAGAAGAUGCUGAAACAUGAGCUUUAU